ensembl:Y_RNA Y_RNA Y RNA
GACUGGCCUGAGUGCAGUGGUGUUUACAAGUAAUUGAUCACAGCCAGUUACAGAUUUCUUUGUUCCUUCUCCAGUCCCACUGCUUCACUUGACUAGCCCUAA